rnacentral:lncRNA from 1 species
AAUUCCCAGGCCAGGGAUCAAACCCACACCACAGCUGCAACCCAAGCCAUGGCAGUGACAACACGAGAUCCUUAACCUGCUAAGCCAAGGAAUUUCUAUACUUCAAUUUUUAAAAAAGAUAUGGUGUGCAUAUAUGUACAAUGAAAUAUCAUUCAGCCAUAAAAAAGAAGGAACGGAGUUCCCGUCAUGGCUCAGUGGUUAAUGAACACGAUUAGUACCCAUAAGGAUGCAGUUUCAACCCCUGGCCUCGCUCAGUGGGUUAAGGAUCCGGCAUUGCCGUGAGCUGUGGUGAAGGUCUCAGAUGCGGUUCGUAUCUGGUAUUGCUGUGGCCAUGGAGUAGGCCGGCACCUGCAGCUUUGAUUCAGUUCCUAGCCUGGGAACCUCCAUAUGCCACAGGUGCAGCCCUAAAAAGACAAAAAAGGGAAGAAGAAGAAGAAGCAAUUCCUGCCAUUUACAAUAACAGAGACGGUCCUCGAGGGCAUUGUGCUAAGUGAAAUAAGUGAGACAGAGAAAGACAAAUACUGUAUGAUCUCUCAUGCAGGUGGAAUCUAAAAAACAAUAGCGAGAAAUAAGCAAGCUGGUAGAUACAGAAAACAGAUCGGUGGUUGCCAGAAUCAGGUGGGUGGAGGGUGGAAGAACUGGGUGGAAGGGGUCAGAAGCCACAUGCUCCCAGUGAUGAAAGGAUGAAGUCUUGGGGAUGUGAUGCACAGCCUGGUGACGGUGGCUAACAAAACUGUACCGCAUAUUUGAAAGCUGUUAAAGAGAGGAGAUCCUAAAAGAGUCAUCACAAGAAAAAACAAUUUUUAAACUACGUAUGGUACCAGAUGUUAACCAGAUUUAUUGUGGUGAUUCUUUCACAAUAUAUACAAAUAUCAAAUCACAGUGCUGUAUAGCUGAAAAUAAUAUAAUGUCAAUAUACGUUAACUAUACCUCAAUGAAAAAAAAUUUUUUUUGUCCUUUUAGGGCUGCGCCAGCAAGCAGCAUACGAAGGUUCCCAGGCUAGAGGUCAAAUCGGAGCUACAGCUGCUGGCCUAUGCCACGGCCACAGCAACGAGGGAUCUGCGUCCCAUCUGCCACCUACACCACAGCUCAAGGCAGCACCAGAUCCUUAACCCAGUGAGCGAAGCCAGGGAUCCAACCCAAGUCCUUGUGGAUACUAGUGCAAAAAUAUUUUUAUUGAGGAGUUCAAGUCAUGGCUCAGUGGAAAUGAACCUGUAGCCAUGAGGAUGCAGGGUCAAUCCCUAGCCUCCCUCAAUGGGUCAGGGUCUGGUGUUGCCGUGAGCUGUGGUGUAGGUCCCAGACGAAGCUCGGAUCCUGUGGUGCUGUGGCUGUGGUGUAGACCACAGCUGCAGCUCCAAUUUGAUCCCCAGCCUGGGAACUUCCCUAUGCUUUGGGUGAGGCCCUAAAAAGAAAAAAGAAAAAAAUUUUAAUUAAAAAAUGUUUUAAUUUUUCGAAAAAAGCUACCCCAGGAAGUUCCUUGAUGGUCUAGUGAUUAAGGAUUUAGCAUUAUCACUAUGAUAGCUUGGAUUCUAUCUCCGGCCCAGGAUCUUCCACAGCAGCACCCCCUAAAAUAUGUGAUCCCACUGCCACAACACAAUGGAAAAAGACAGUAUGUUUGGCAGUUAACAGUACAUGGAACCUCAAUGAAAUUUUCCUUUUAAGGACCUACACUGUAAACAAUGGAGCUAGGCAGUUGUCUCACUAAUUUCUGUUUCCAUAAUGCCACACACUCCAGUGCAUGAGUGUGAAGAUGACUGAAUUGUUUUACUCUUAGAUCAUUUUAUAUUAUACUAUCAAAACUUGAGAGCUCCAUACAUUCAGCAGAUUUAUUCAGAACACUUUUUUUAUUGAGAAAAUAAAAAUUGGAUUGUGGAGUUCCCCUGGUGGCUCAGCAGAAAUGAACCUGACUGGUAUCCUUGAGGACACAGGUUCAAUCUCUGGCCUUGCUCAGUGGGUUAAGGAUCCAGCAUUGCCAUGAGCUGUGGUGUAGGUCGCAGAUGUGACUCGAUCCUGCAUCGAGGUGGCUGUGGUGUAGGCCAGAGACUGCAGCUCCAAUUCAACCCCUAGCCUGGGAAUCUCUAUAUCACAGGGAACUCUAUCUAGUCACUUGUGAUGGAACAUGAUGGAGGAUAAUGUGAGAAAAAGAAUGUGUGUGUGUGUGUGACUGGGUUACUUUGCUGUAUAGUAGAAAAUUGACAGAACACUGUAAACCAACUAUAAUGGAAAAAAUAAAAAUUAAAAAAAAAAAUUCAUGGAAGUUCUCAUUGUGGCACAGGAGGAAAGAAUCCGAUUAGCAUCCAUGAGGAUGCAGAUCUGAUCCCUGGCCUGGCUCAGUGGGUUAAGGAUCCAGCGUUGCUAUGAACUAUGGUGUGGAAAAUGGAGCUCAGAUCCCGCGUUGCUGUAGCUGUGGUGUUAGGUCGGCAGUAGGCCAGCAGCUACAGCUUUGAUUCGGUCCCUAGCCUGGGAACUUCCAUAUGCCCUGGGUGCAGCCCUAAAAAGCAAAAAAAAAAAAAAAAAAA